rnacentral:rRNA from 1 species
GACGAACGCUGGCGGCGUGCUUAACACAUGCAAGUCGAACGGAAAGGCCCUUCGGGGUACUCGAGUGGCGAACGGGUGAGUAACACGUGGAUGAUCUGCCCUGCACUUUGGGAUAAGCCUGGGAAACUGGGUCUAAUACCGAAUAGGACCACGCGCUUCAUGGUGUGUGGUGGAAAGCUUUUGCGGUGUGGGAUGGGCCCGCGGCCUAUCAGCUUGUUGGUGGGGUAAUGGCCUACCAAGGCGACGACGGGUAGCCGGCCUGAGAGGGUGACCGGCCACACUGGGACUGAGAUACGGCCCAGACUCCUACGGGAGGCAGCAGUGGGGAAUAUUGCACAAUGGGCGCAAGCCUGAUGCAGCGACGCCGCGUGAGGGAUGACGGCCUUCGGGUUGUAAACCUCUUUCACCAGGGACGAAGCGUAAGUGACGGUACCUGGAGAAGAAGCACCGGCCAACUACGUG